rnacentral:rRNA from 1 species
CCUACGGGUGGCAGCAGUAGGGAAUCUUGCACAAUGGGGGAAACCCUGAUGCAGCGACGCCGCGUGAGUGAAGAAGGAUUUCGGUAUGUAAAGCUCUAUCAGCAGGGAAGAGAAUAACGGUACCUGAGUAAGAAGCCCCGGCUAACUACGUGCCAGCAGCCGCGGUAAUACGUAGGGGGCAAGCGUUAGCCGGAUUUACUGGGUGGAAAGGGAGCGUAGACGGCGAAGAAAGUCUGAAGUGAAAGCCCGCGGCUCAACCGCGGGACUGCUUUGGACACUUGUUUGCUGGAGUACCGGAGAGGUAAGUGGAAUUCCUAGUGUAGCGGUGAAAUGCGUAGAGAUUAGGAGGAACACCAGUGGCGAAGGCGGCUUACUGGACGGUAACUGACGUUGAGGUUCGAAAGCGUGGGGAGCAAACAGGAUUAGAUACCCGUGUAGUC